UACAGAGGUCUCAAGCGUUGUUCGGAUUCAUUGGGCGUAAAGGGUGCGUAGGCGGCGCGGUAAGUCGGGUGUGAAAUCUCGGAGCUUAACUCCGAAACUGCAUUCGAUACUGCCGUGCUUGAGGACUGGAGAGGAGACUGGAAUUUACGGUGUAGCGGUGAAAUGCGUAGAUAUCGUAAGGAAGACCAGUGGCGAAGGCGGGUCUCUGGGCCUUACCUGACGCUGAGGCGCGAAAGCUAGGGGAGCGAACAGG
rnacentral:rRNA from 1 species